UGUUAAUUACCGCCGGGUAACGUCUUAUUCAUUCCAGUAGGCCUUUGUUGGAAUGAGUAAGGCGUUUUUUAUUCC
rnacentral:ncRNA from 1 species